GAUGAACGCUGGCGGCGUGCCUAAUACAUGCAAGUCGAGCGAACGGACGAGAAGCUUGCUUCUCUGAUGUUAGCGGCGGACGGGUGAGUAACACGUGGAUAACCUACCUAUAAGACUGGGAUAACCUCGGGAAACCGGAGCUAAUACCGGAUAAUAUUUUGAACCGCAUGGUUCAAAAGUGAAAGACGGUCUUGCUGUCACUUAUAGAUGGAUCCGCGCUGCAUUAGCUAGUUGGUAAUGUAACGGCUUACUAAGGCAACGAUGCAUAGCCGACCUGAGAGGGUGAUCGGCCACACUGGAACGUAGACACGCUUCAGACUCCUACGGGGGGCAGCAGUAGGGAAUCUUCCGCAAUGGGCGAAAGCCUGACGGUGCAACGCCGCGUGAGGGAUGGAGGUCUUCGGAUCGUAAAACUCUGUUAUUAGGGAAGAACAUAUGUGUAAGUAACUGUGCACAUCUUGACGGUACCUAAUCAGAAAGCCACGGCUAACUACGUG
rnacentral:rRNA from 1 species